rnacentral:rRNA from 1 species
GAUGAACGCUGGCGGCGUGCUUAACACAUGCAAGUCGAACGGUGGAAGAGAGCUUGCUCUCUGGAUCAGUGGCGAACGGGUGAGUAACACGUGAGCAAUCUGCCCCUGACUCUGGGAUAAGCGCUGGAAACGGCGUCUAAUACCGGAUACGAGCUGCGAAGGCAUCUUCAGCAGCUGGAAAGAACUUCGGUCAGGGAUGAGCUCGCGGCCUAUCAGCUAGUUGGUGAGGUAACGGCUCACCAAGGCGUCGACGGGUAGCCGGCCUGAGAGGGUGACCGGCCACACUGGGACUGAGACACGGCCCAGACUCCUACGGGAGGCAGCAGUGGGGAAUAUUGCACAAUGGGCGAAAGCCUGAUGCAGCAACGCCGCGUGAGGGACGACGGCCUUCGGGUUGUAAACCUCUUUUAGCAGGGAAGAAGCGAAAGUGACGGUACCUGCAGAAAAAGCACCGGCUAACUACGUG